UUAAUUAAAGCCAAAAUAGAGGCAUGUCAUUGUUAAUGACAUUAUUGAUUUAAAUCUAAUUAAA
rnacentral:tRNA from 1 species